GUUUUGAUCUAACGUCGCAAUAAAUGACUCGCCUUCCUGUUUUACCUACGCAGCUAAUCUAUUGGCAUUAGUAGCAGCUAAUGAGCGAGUGAUAAAGUACAUCGUAAUCAAGAGAUAAGUAUUUUCAGAUUUUGCACUAUCAAAUAAAUGGAAUGUGUAAUUGCUGGGGGCGCCACCUGUCGGUAAUCGGAUCAAACGCAAUUCGCCUGAAGAAAACGCACGACGGUCAGCGGAGUGUGAUUGUUUUUUGUUUGUACGUGAUUUUAUUUAUUAAUUAAAUUUAGUCUAAUACGAAUGAGCAAUUUUAAUUGAAAAAAUAAGCGACCUCCGAGGUACCUACUCAAAUAUAGGAAAAUGCCAUUUAGACAACGCAAAAUAGCCGUCAUGGGCUACAGAUCAGUAGGAAAAUCGUCUUUAAGUAUACAAUUUGUAGAAGGACAGUUUGUUGAUUCGUAUGAUCCCACAAUCGAAAAUACGUUCACAAAAUCCACAAGAAUCAAUUCUCAAGAUUAUGAGAUACAGUUAGUAGAUACUGCUGGACAAGAUGAAUAUUCUAUAUUUCCAUCACAGUAUAGUAUAGACGUGCAUGGUUAUGUUCUUGUGUAUAGUAUAACUAGCGAAAAAUCAUUUGACGUUAUCAAGAUAAUAUAUGACAAGCUAUUGGAUAUAACUGGAAAAGUACAUGUUCCAUUAGUUUUAGUUGGUAAUAAGACUGAUCUACAUAUGGAAAGGAUGAUUUCCUAUGAGGAAGGUAGAAAACUCGCAGAGGGAUGGAAUGCGAUAUUUUUGGAGGCAUCUGCCAAGCAAAAUACAACAAUUAUUUAUUAACAUAUGCACACCUGACAAAUGGACGGACACACAUGCUGCACCUGGUUUUCAACGUCGACCCAACACAACAGGAAGAAAUAAAUAAACAUUAAAUGUAUACAGUCUGUGUCUGAUAUAUUCCACACAUUACUAAUGGAAAUAGAAAAAGCAGACACAAAAAUGAACGAAAAAUCAAAUUGUUCAAUAUCAUAAGACGGAAGGAAGUACAAUAACUCUUAGGUACCUAAUGUUUUUCAAUAAGAAGUUAUAAAGUUUAAUAUAUGUAUAGUUCAGUAUGCAGCCGUGACAUGUGUAUCGUUAAUUACACUCUUAAUUUAUGUAGGUUACGGAAAAGUAUUUAUAAUUUAUCUUGCCUUAAUGGUUAGAUUUAUGUUAAAUGGCAAUCCAGUAAUGUACAGGUUCCUAGUUAGUUCCUUCGAUACAAAAUUUGUAAAUAUAGUAGGAAUCUAUAAAUUACUACAGGCCAAUAUAGUGAACCGUGUUUCUGCGGAACAUUAAAUAUAUUUUUGUAUAUUGUGUAACACAUUGGUCAUUUAACAUUUGUCAAAGAUGUGUUCUAAAUUUCAAUUGCAGUCGUCUAUAAUAGACCGUAGUAGUUGUGAUUUAUUAAUUGCUUUUAGUAAUAGUCUUAGUAAUUGGAAAUGAUUGCCGAAGUAUUUGUUGGUAAUUAUAUUAGUCUGUGUGAAGGAGAGCGACUAGCAAAAUAACAAAUACCUCAAUAAUGUUACUAUCACAACAUUGCAUAAAAGUCACUUUACAUAAGUACCAAAUCAGCUAUUUAAAAUAAAAUACUCACAGCACAGUACACUUAAUUAGCUAUUUAUUUAUUGUUAAAAAAAUAAGUUGAUAAAAGUGACUGUUGAAUACAUCACCGAAGUGUUGUGAUGGCAAUGUUUAACAUUCUUUCAUUGCUAUUUAGCUAGGCUAGUGAUAGACUUAAGUGAUAAUAAUAUUAUACUGUGUUGUAGCUCUUUUGGCUGUAGCACUGCUUAAUUUGUUUGUUAAGUGUUUUCUAAUGUAAUAGUUUAUUAUUUAAGUAAGCAUAACUGAAUUAACUUUUUGCAUAUCAAUUAUACAAUAAUAGUUCUUUGUAUCAACUUAAUUUUCGACAUUGGUACACUACUUAAAAUUCAAUUGCAAUUAUUUGUUGAAAAGUUUAAUAGUUUAUGUAUUAACAAAAAUAUGUAAUAGUAUAUCUGUUAAUUAAAGUUUGUUUGAAUAUGUA